UGAAGAAGAUGCUUUUCAGAGGUUUUUUCUUCAAAAGAGCUUUGGCUGCAGCUGCCUUCCUUCGAGAGAGCGUCAGUCCUCAUCUUCAUCCUGGAUGUAAUCUCCUGGCUCCAGUGCGGAUCUCUCAGCCUUCGGCUACAGGGGCAGAACUGGAGAAAUGGAGGCAGAUUUCAGCAUACGAUGAGGAGGAAUCAAAGGAAGAUGUAUCAAAAUUCACUUCAACAAAAUCUUAGGUUUGCUGAGGCUACACAUCAUACCCAUUACUGAGCCCAGAGUGAUUGGUCUGAGAUGUAACAAGCUUGGAUGUAUGUGUUAUUGUUGUUCUGAGACAUGAUCUUGCUACAUUGCCAGAUUGGCCUUGAACUCUCAAGGUCAAGUGCUUCUGCUGACUUUAGCCUCCCCAGUAGCUGGGACUACAGUAUUUAAAAUCGAAUCACCCAGGCAUGGAUUUUGUGUUGGCCUUUGAGGCCUAGGUGUUAUCUGGAUGACUCCUACUUGAAACUAUUAUUACUCAUUAAUCCUUGAGAUAAUUAAUUUUUAUUAGAUGCCUAAACCUGUGACCUGGCUGACCCAGGACAGCUACAUUUAAUUAACAAGGAAGCAUAUCAGGAAAAACUUCAAAGCAAUAGCUUAAGGAUUGGGAAAACAUAAAUGGUGUGACACGACAGCCCUACACAGCCAAAAGAAUCACCUAUGUGUGGAGAAGUGUCGAGGACAAGUGGCUGGCUGAACACUUUCACCAGAGAUGAAUUUCAUAGGCAAAUGAGAGGAAGGUUUUCCUCUUGCAGAAUUCCAUGGCAGAGUUUGAUCUUGGCACUGUUUUCUGUGGAACCAUGAAGAAGUGUGAGAAUUCUUCAUAUAGUUCUUCAGAUGAAAAGAGGUGACUUCAAUGCCUUUCCUAUUAUAAUUCUGUGUGAAGCUAGCUUUGAGCUAUCUUUAAAUACAACUCAAUGUGAUGUGCUUGCCUAAGGCAACUGACAUUUCAAAUUGAGAUUAUUUUCACCCCCAAAGCAAGAAAGUCUGCUCUUUCCUGUAGUUACAGCUGUAUAAAUGAAGU